rnacentral:miRNA from 1 species
AAUUUAGGACAGAGGGAGUAGCA